AUUGAACGCUGGCGGCAUGCCUUACACAUGCAAGUCGAACGGCAGCACGGGUGCUUGCACCUGGUGGCGAGUGGCGAACGGGUGAGUAAUACAUCGGAACAUGUCCUGUAGUGGGGGAUAGCCCGCCGAAAGCCGGAUUAAUACCGCAUACGAUCUACGGAUGAAAGCGGGGGACCUUCGGGCCUCGCGCUAUAGGGUUGGCCGAUGGCUGUUUAGCUAGUUGGUGGGGUAAAGGCCUACCAAGGCGACGAUCAGUAGCUGGUCUGAGAGGACGACCAGCCACACUGGGACUGAGACACGGCCCAGACUCCUACGGGAGGCAGCAGUGGGGAAUUUUGGACAAUGGGCGAAAGCCUGAUCCAGCAAUGCCGCGUGUGUGAAGAAGGCCUUCGGGUUGUAAAGCACUUUUGUCCGGAAAGAAAUCCUUGGCCCUAAUACGGUCGGGGGAUGACGGUACCGGAAGAAUAAGCACCGGCUGACUACGUG
rnacentral:rRNA from 1 species